AUUCUGCAGAAAGAAAUGCAACAUACCAUCAUACUUCUUUUAAUUGAUGCAGAGAAUUAUUCAGAAAUGAUUUGAGAAGCUAGAACCCCAGAAAGGACGAUGCAAUGGCCCCAAAUUACAAACACUGGGCUAUAUAUGUGUGUGUGUGUGUGUGUGUGUGUUACAAUCUUUUGUUUUCGGCCUUUUAGAGGAUUUGAUUCAAAAAAUUAAGAACAGAAAGUCCAAUUUACUGACAUAAAGGUACAAAAGAAUGAAAUGGCAUAUUGGUUUUGAACAAUGAGGAAGAUAAUCACAUUAAGCUUCAAGGUCUCAGAAAGCAAACAAAAGGUCAUUUACAAUUAAAUCUAAAGCAUAAAAAUAAUUAUGCCAACUAGAAGCUAAAAGAGCCGAACAAGCAACCAAAUACCAAUAACAAUCAAAAGAAUAUUCCAUUCUAACUAUCAUAGCACAAACAGUAUGUCAUCUGUCUUGUGUUGGCUUCAUGUAGUCCAUUGCAACAUUGUUCCCAGUCUAUCACUGAAAUGUCUUUAGAACUUUCCCAAAUCUUUGACCGGUGCAAAAACCUUCCAACAAACUCAGCCAUACAGAAAAAUCAAAUCUGAAGGAAGCUAAAUACAUUAGUCGCUAUGUGUCUUGCUCUCGCUCUUUCGCUUUCUCUGGAAGUUCCACACCUCUGAAAAUGCGCAAUAUCUUUUAUACAUGAACCAAAAGUUCGUAUAUAAUUCAGCUCACCCCCCAAGUGCUAACCCAGUCCAACAAGAAGUAAUCAAUACAUAUACAUAACAAAUACCAAGAACUAUCGACUUCAAAUUUCAGCCUUAAUCUCAUUUCUUUUGUGUUGCUUUCAAUGCAUUAUGCUUCAACAUUGAUCCCAAUUCAUCACUAGUAGUCUAGUUCCAAUAUAAAAUUUUACCCAAUAUUUCACCAACAACACAACCCUCAAAAUAAGUGAACUAACAAAAGAUGAGAUGAAAACACUGGUGAUUUCUGAUUACUUCAGAGGACCUCAGAAGGCAUGAAUUUUAACAAGAAAUUGAGAACUUAAAUUUUGACCUAACUCCUAAUUCACAUGAUCCAACAAGCAAUGAUCAACACAUGGUUUAGAAGCAGUAAAGACUCGAACUUUCAGCUCUAAUCUCAUCUAUCUGGGGUCGAUUUCGGGCAUGAAACUUCACUAUCAUUCUCAAUUCAUCAUCGAUUUCACUAUAAAAUCUCCCCCGAUAUUCUAUCUGGACCAACAAAAGAUAUGAGGGAAGCACUGAAGCACUGAGACGAGAGUCUUUAUUGCUCCAGAGGAUCUUAAACAUCUUAAAUUCGAACAAGAACAUGAAAAUUUAAGUAUCCGCCAAUGAAACAUUUCAAGAAAUUAGAGAGAAAACCCC
rnacentral:lncRNA from 1 species